CUUCACCGAGCCCAGCCAGAGCGGCUCCCGGCGCGGACCACGCCCGUACGCGGCCAUCAGCGCGUCCGCCUC
rnacentral:antisense_RNA from 2 species